AGUGAACGCUGGCGGUAGGCCUAACACAUGCAAGCCGAACGGCAGCACAGGAGAGCUUGUUCUCUGGGUGGCGAGCGGCGGACGAGUGAGGAAUACAUCGGAAUCUACUCUGUCGUGGGGGAUAACGUAGGGAAACUUACGCUAAUACCGCAUACGCCCUACGGGUGAAAGCAGGGGACCUUCGGGCCUUGCGCGAUUGAAUGAGCCGAGGUCGGAUUAGCUAGUUGGCGGGGUAAAGGCCCACCAAGGCGACGAUCCGUAGCUGGUCUGAGAGGAUGAUCAGCCACACUGGAACUGAGACACGGUCCAGACUCCUACGGGAGGCAGCAGUGGGGAAUAUUGGACAAUGGGCGCAAGCCUGAUCCAGCCAUACCGCGUGGGUGAAGAAGGCCUUCGGGUUGUAAAGCCCUUUUGUUGGGAAAGAAAUCCAGCUGGCUAAUACCCGGUUGGGAUGACGGUACCCAAAGAAUAAGCACCGGCUAACUUCGUGCCAGCCGCCGCAGUAA
rnacentral:rRNA from 1 species